GUUUGGGUUCCCUCCUUUUUCUUUUCCUCCGAGGCGGGAGACCACUUCUGGAAACGCUUAAGCGAUUGAAUAUGGAUGACUUUGUUAAACUAAAGUUACCAGAAUGGCAACUUCCGGAGCUGAUGGACCAUUUUGCAGGCUCCAGAGACUACAUUUCCCUGAUGGUUCUGCCAAGCCUGAUGCCACCUGCAGUCUUCAGGAUGGGCCUGAAAGACCGUGAGGUCUACAGCGUCUGACGCCAUGAAGGCCUUCAUCGAUCUUAAGCCUGUGAGUAUUC